rnacentral:lncRNA from 1 species
GUGGGAUUCUGUCAAAGUUUUAUUUUGUGUUGAAUAACUCUUUAUCAUGUUUUGGUUAGUGUAUUACUAUAACAUGUAUAACUUUGUUUCAUUGACUUGUUUCAAAAUGAAGUGAAUUCUGACUACGUUUUUUUUUUUUUUUUUGAGUCUUGAAUAAAUUUUAUCAUGUUUUGGUUAUAAUAGUGUAUUGCUAUAUUUUAUUGUUUCAUUGUUUCAGAUCAAAG